rnacentral:piRNA from 1 species
UGAGAUCAAUAAUUGUUCCGGUAUCCAC